AAAAUAUAUCAACUAUGGUGCACUAUAGAAACACAUGUACAGCACUUUAUGUAUUGCCCUUAGUAACAGUCUUCAUUUAUAACACAUAUGCAAUGU